AGAAUGAGAUUUUUUAUUCUAUAAAGUCAAGGUACAAUUUUUACAGGACAUAGGCAUUCAUGAAGAAGCAAUUGGCUUUAUGCUUGUCAAGUUCCCUCCUUUAUUAACGUAUAGCCUCUACAAGAAAAUUUGCCCAGUGCUGCAGUGGCAUCUUCUACAGACUCAUGGAUGAAGGAAUUAAUUGAAGCACAUAAGCUUGCUGAUGAUAUAAAUGGGAUGAUUUCUGAAAGGAGUUCUUUGCCUCCAUCAGGACCAGAUACACAACGUCACUUGUCUGCCAUAAGGAGAAAGAUUACAAUACUAGGGAUCCGACUUGAUAGCUUGCAGUCCCUUUUAUCUGAGCUACCUUCUAAGCAGCCCAUAUAUAAGAAACAGUACAUGGAGGAGGUUAAGCUGAAAGGCUUAGAGCAGGCAAAAGAUGAUAAAGCAAAAGACACUACACCAGUUGGAACUAUUUCUAAGCAGGACAAGACAAAAGCAAACUGGCCUAAUAAGGCUUCAUCAUCUAUUGAGCAGGAUUUGGAUGUAUUUCUCCUGGGAGAUCUUGGAAGUAGUGAUGAGGGUUCAGGAAUUGUUUAAUUUCUUAGUAUGAAAACCAUGUUGAAGUAGGCAAUUUCUAUUAAUUAAUGGCCGAGUCUACACAACAAUAGUGCCAGACCAAGCCACACAGUGUAUUAUGAUUAAGCUAGCCUACAACUGGCCAGACUGAAACUUGGGCCUCAAAAGGGAUUCCUGGUCUUGUCGAAAACACAGAUGGACUGGACAGUUGGACUUGUGAGGUACCACAUGCUAGCGACAGUACAACAGAGAUAGAUUUUAUAACAUACUUCAAAGCAAUCAAUAUCACCUAUUCACCAGCUUGGUACGCAGAUGCAAUCCAACCUUUCUUCUCAGGAGGAGAGAACAACAUGGAGAAUUUAACCACUCUGGUGAACAAGCUGGUAGAGGACUUGUACUUCUCUAGGUAAUUGUGGAGAAGGGAAAGCAUUGCCAAACUUGUGGGUUUAGUUCCUAUUGAAUACUAUCAUCGGUGGACAGGGUGCUGAAGAAGCUGAGUUGCAUGUGACGUGACGUCCCCUAUAGGUGUAAAAAAUAUAGAAAGAGCUGUUAUUGAUGUUGAAUCUAUGUCACUGUCUUUCAAAAAUCAGGUUUAAACUGCAGCUGUUGUUGCACCUCCAACGACAACUACUAAUGGUACUUCUACUCUAGCUUCUCUUUGCAUGGUAAGCCUUGAAAAUCAGUUUGAAAUUAUGGUCUUUGUAAUUCCCUUGAACUUAAAAAGCUUCAAUUUUUUCCCUGUUGCCGACACCCCAAGGAACAGGCUCUCUGUUGUGUCCUAGGGUCUCCCUAUCUUUAUUGUCUCUCCCCCUAGUGUUGCGCCGCUCCUUUGUCCUGUACUUUGUAGCUUGUUAUCCUCCCCCCCUUGUACAUUCUUUCCUCCUUGGUAAUGAAUUUAUUUAUUCAUCCAAAAAAGAAAAGUUUUGAUUCUUUGUUUUUCCUCUGUCUCUUUUCUCUUCACUUUCAUUAAUUAUUAUUUUGCACCAAAGCUUUGACCUAGAUGCUUUUUCCCACAUAAUAUUUGUUCCUACAAGGUCUUAGUCUUGAUGAACUGAUAUCUUUUGCCUUAUUUUAUUUUAUUAUAAAUUUUUAGUAUUGCAUCUUGGACCUUUUCUAUAUGUCUAGCUCACAUUGAAAAUAUAUAGUUCGGGUGUAUAUGAGAACCACUGUGCUCGAAAAAAUGUUGAAUCUUGUCUGCCGGACUUCGAACAAUCAAAAGUGUUGAGCAGACUUUACAAGAUGUUGGGUUUGUUUACUUUUCCUUCUAAAAGUUUAUUUUACUUCAUAAUCGCGUUUCUAUCUUUCAUGAAGUAUUUUUGUGGAUGACAACAUCAAUUUUGCAUGUUUCCUUUGUCCAAGUUAACACGCUAUUGCCAAGUUGGGCUGUUUUAUUUAUUUAUUUGUGCUUCUUACUUGUUUUUGUUUUGCCCAUACGUUUUAAUUUUUUGAAAUGGUAGGUACCCUUAUUAUUUAUUUUUUUACACUUAUACCUCUGAGCAGAAAGCAAUGCUCAUAACUGAAAAGAGAAAUAAGUGUUUUAAAAAGUCAAAUUCUUCUCCCUCCCCCUCUAUUUUCGCCGCCCAACUCACCUUCUAGAGUGCAUCAAUAUUAUUUCUUUUGUCUAUUGUAAAUGUAACAAAUUAGUGACGGAUGAGAGUAAUAGGAUUUUGUUAGACUCAUUGACAUUGAAGAGCAUGUUUGUUUUUAUAUUUUCAUGUGUUACUGAACUUUUGGGUCCCAAUGACCAAAUCUCUCGGGAUGUUCAAAGAUUUUUUUUGUUUAAUUCAGCUAAACUAAAUUGUUAACCUUAUCUUCUGAAAUAAAUUAUGGAACUCUGCAAACAAGUAAAGUUGUGUAACAUUGUGCAUUAUAUUUAGUUUAUUCUAAGGCUUUUAUACUUUGGAAACUAAGUUGUUGUUGGUCUUGUUGGGAUCUUAUUGUCAACCAGUUAUCAAUUCCAGUUCUUCUGUACAAGUUGGAGAUUUUUUUUUUUUAAUUUUGGUUACUCGGUGGAUUCUACGACCAGAAAUUCUAGUCUCAGCACUUGGGGAGGGAUUCUUACAAUAUGUUUUGUUAAAUUAUUUGCUGGUGAGCCACAACGAAAUUAUAUUUUUAUUUCUUCUGUAAAAGAUGCAACUGCACUUGAUAUUGACAUUAUGAAACAACCCCCACUAAAGGGGGGAAAGAAACAAAACUUUGCAAUAGAGAGCCAUUCAAUGAGAUCCUAGCAAUAGCACCACAAGUUUUGGAAUAACGUCUAAAUUUUGUCUUCAAACACCUAGUAUCUCUCUUUCUUCUAGGCUUUAAUUAUAGAGAAAGCAGAGCCUUUUUCAUCUUGUAAAACGGUAAUACAAGUAUUGAAGAAUAGAAGCUUGUAAGAUGCAGGUUGGUUCGAAAUUCUUAACUCAAAUCUUCAAGGUAUAUAACAUACCUUCUGGAUUGAUGCAUGAUACCCAAGGAUUUGCGAUAAGUGACAUUAUAUACUAUUAUGGAAAAGGUCGAUAGUAGGAUAUGCAACUGAAAUUUUCCUCAUAACUGGGUUGUGCGAAAGGCUGUUAAUGUAAGGUUCAGUUCUUUGUGUGGACAACAUUCAUGGAUAGUGUAUUUAGUAUUGACCAUCUUAUUGCUAGAGGUCAAAUCUUCCUAAUGUCAGUUUGUUCUGUCUGAAAUUUGCUGAAUUAGUUUCUCAUUUGCUUCCCAUUUAAUGAAUGAAAUUUUGAUAGAUUCCAUUUUUAAAUGGGGUGAGAUGGGGACAUUGGGACUUAAGAGAUAUUUCUUUUGUUUAAGAUGUGGAAUAGGCAAUACAUGAAUAAAGGUGGAAGAAUGUAUGGCUUUUGAUUGCAGGUGCUAUUAUUUAGAGAUUUUGAAGGCAAGUAAUGAUAUCGAUAGAAAAAAAGAAGGCAAGUAAUGAUACUGACUUAUUUGCGAGAUAUCAAUUUUUUUUAAUCUUUAUUACUUUUAAAAUAUCAAAUUGCAUAAUGACUCAAUUUCUGCAAAACUCCAUCACGUGUUGCAUCUCUUCAGUUUUGACAGCAAAAUUACAAAUAAUAUUAUAAUUUAGCUUAAAAAAUCUUGAUCUUUAUUCAAGACUCUAUUUUCACUUAUUGAUGUUGCCUUUGAAACUCUUCUUUGUCUUUCAUGUUGGCAGACGAUUUUGGCUCUUCAUAGUUAACCAUCUGCAACAAUUCAUCAUCUUCUUUAACAUGCUUUACUCUAAUCUCCAAGGAUUGUCCACAAAGGAUGGGGUCCCACAACACUUUACAUGUCUCAUACGCAUGUUAGAACACCGAAACACACUUCAAUGAUGGUUUCCAUAUCCAAAAUAUAUGUAUGCAAGGCUAUCCUAGAUUUUCCGCUAAGUUUUUUAUCACUAGCGGUUUCUUGAAAAUCUUUUGUUAUCUGGAUUUUUCGCUCCUAGUUUUUCAUAAUUUUAAGAACCUAGUUUCACAAUUUUUAGCAUUUUUCAAGUCUUUUGGUUUAAGGCCUCGAUACUAUCCCCGAAUUAUGAAUUUUUUUACUCUCCCAUAGCUUUUUUUCUUGAAAAUCCUUUGGUUUAAGGUUUUAAAGCUACUCCUGGAUUUCUCACCCUUGGUUAUUCCUUCGAUUUCGAUUAUCUGACUGAGUGCUGAGUUCAUUGUUUUUAUUUUGCUUUUACAUCAAUACUUGAUUAUCCCUGGGUUUAUUCUCCUCUGCCUUUGCCUGAAACUUCAUCCGUUCUAAAGACCCUUUAAUUCCUUGGCGAAAUAUAAUUUGGUUUAAAGGGCACAUCCCUCGUCAUAGCUUCACCGCCUUACGAGCCCUCUCCUACUACCUCCCCACGCAAUCCUUCCUCAACUUCCGCAACAUCUAGGUUCCCUUCUCCUUGAGUCUAUGUUGGAAUGGUACUGAAGAUAUUGACCAUCUAUUUUUCUCCUGUCCCUUUGCCACUUCCAUCUAAAAGAGGGUUCUCCGCUCUUGCUGGCCUUCCCCCUUCCCAUCCUCCCCCUUGGCUACAAGUGGAUCUGGGUAGACAUGACCUUCAAUAGCUCUUCUAUUUGUGACAUAAUUCCCUUCCCAUCCUCCCCCUUGGCUACAAGUGGAUCUGGGUAGAUAUGACCUUCAAUAACUCUUCUAUUUGUGACAUAAUUGCAAAGCUUGUUUUUUGC